rnacentral:rRNA from 1 species
UUCUGCCGCCGGCGACCGGCGCACGGGUGAGUAACACGUAUGCAACCUGGCCCGUGACAGGGGGACAACCCGCCGAAAGGCGGGCUAAACCCGCGUACAUGCCACCGGGGCAUCCCGGAGGCAGGAAAGGCUUCGGCCGGACAGGGAUGGGCAUGCGGCGCAUUAGGCAGUAGGCGGGGUAACGGCCCACCUAACCGACGAUGCGUAGGGGUUCUGAGAGGAAGGUCCCCCACACUGGUACUGAGACACGGACCAGACUCCUACGGGAGGCAGCAG